UAAAGUCAAACAACCUCUUAGCUGUUAUACGCAUUAUGAGGACAUGAAGCCCCCCUACGAAAGUAACUUUAAUACCCCCUGACCCCACGAAAGCUAAGAAACAAACUGGGAUUAGAUACCCCACUAUGCUUAGCCAUAAACUUAGAUGUUUUCCUACAAAAAGCAUCCGCCAGGGUACUACAAGCGCCAGCUUAAAACCCAAAGGACUUGACGGUGUCUCAGACCCACCUAGAGGAGCCUGUUCUAGAACCGAUAAUCCACGUUAAACCUCACCACCCCUUGUCUCUCCCGCCUAUAUACCGCCGUCGCAAGCUUACCCUGUGAAGGAUUAACAGUAAGCAAAAUGGGUAAUCCCCAGAACGUCAGGUCGAGGUGUAGCUUACGAGGUGGAAAGAAAUGGGCUACAUUUUCUACACCAGAAUAUUACGAAUGGUAUUAUGAAACUAAUACCUGAAGGUGGAUUUAGUAGUAAAAAUCAAAUAGAGAGUUAUUUUGAAAUUAGGCUCUGAGACGCGCACACACCGCCCGUCGCCC
rnacentral:rRNA from 1 species